rnacentral:rRNA from 1 species
UAGGGGGCAAGCGUUAUCCGGAUUUACUGGGUGUAAAGGGAGCGUAGACGGCGAAGCAAGUCUGAAGUGAAAACACAGGGCUUAACUCUGGGACUGCUUUGGAAACUGUUUUGCUAGAGUGCUGGAGAGGUAAGUGGAAUUCCUAGUGUAGCGGUGAAAUGCGUAGAUAUUAGGAGGAACACCAGUGGCGAAGGCGGCUUACUGGACAGUAACUGACGUUGAGGCUCGAAAGCGUGGGGAGCAAA